UCGCUAUCAGUCUGUUGCACUCUCCGCCUAUAAAAAGGGGGACCCCAGAUACGUUAUUCUCUAAGCUCUAAUUUCUAUCUCAAAACUCUGCUAAAAUUUUCGUUCGAGCACUCCAUUCUUGUUGAGGCAGAGAACUGACUUGAGCAUCGGAGGGUCUUGCCGGAGCACCCCCAACUCCGGUUUAGACUUCCUUUGCAGGUCUCGGUGGCGACCGCGACUCCCUCGACUCCAGCUUCUCCGACGCCGGUGGAUUUUUGCACCAACAACUUGCAUUGAGUUUGUCACCC
rnacentral:lncRNA from 1 species